rnacentral:rRNA from 1 species
UACAUGGGGUGCAAACGUUGCUCGGAAUUAUUGGGCGUAAAGCGCACGUAGGCGGUUUGUUAAGUCGGAUGUGAAAUCCCUCGGCUCAACUGAGGAAGUGCAUCCGAAACUGGCAAGCUUGAGUACGAAAGAGGAUCGCGGAAUUCCCGGUGUAGAGGUGAAAUUCGUAGAUAUCGGGAGGAACACCAGUGGCGAAGGCGGCGAUCUGGGAAGAUACUGACGCUGAGGUGCGAAAGCGUGGGGAGCAAACAGG